rnacentral:rRNA from 1 species
GAUGAACGCUAGCUACAGGCUUAACACAUGCAAGUCGCGGGGCAGCAUGGGGGUUGCUUGCAAUCCCCGAUGGCGACCGGCGCACGGGUGAGUAACGCGUAUCCAACCUGCCCUUCACCACGGGAUAACCCGGCGAAAGUCGGACUAAUACCGUAUGUUGUCCAUUGACGGCAUCCGAUUUGGACGAAAGGUUUGGCGGUGAAGGAUGGGGAUGCGUCCGAUUAGCUGGACGGCGGGGUGACGGCCCACCGUGGCGACGAUCGGUAGGGGUUCUGAGAGGAAGGUCCCCCACACUGGAACUGAGACACGGUCCAGACUCCUACGGGAGGCAGCAGUGAGGAAUAUUGGUCAAUGGGCGUAAGCCUGAACCAGCCAAGUAGCGUGCAGGAGGACGGCCCUAUGGGUUGUAAACUGCUUUUAUGCGGGGAUAAAGUGGCCCACGUGUGGGUUUCUGCAGGUACCGCAUGAAUAAGGACCGGCUAAUUCCGUG